rnacentral:rRNA from 1 species
UAGGGAAUAUUGGACAAUGGGCGCAAGCCUGAUCCAGCCAUGCCGCGUGUGUGAAGAAGGCCUUCGGGUUGUAAAGCACUUUUGUCCGGAAAGAAAAGCGCUGGGUUAAUACCCUGGUGUCCUGACGGUACUGGAAGAAUAAGCACCGGCUAACUACGUGCCAGCAGCCGCGGUAAU